CGCAGCGCGUGGCCGCGUUUUCAGUUGCUUUAUCUUUUGAGCUUCCCUGGAUUUCGUUUAAGGUGUGAUGAGAAACGCACUGAAAGUGUACCCUGCUAGAAACACCUCGGUGCUCUGAUUCCGAAGGCGAUCUACAGCUUUCCAACUGACACACAUUGGCCCCUGAACCAAUAUUUCACAAUUUAUCCGCUAUGCACCUUACCACAUGUGCGUGGAAUACCACACACCACCUUGGGGAGAACCAUUCGGUAGAAAAGACAAUCGGGACAUCGAAAACGUGCAUCCAGCUUGUACCUGCAUGAAAGUCCCAAUGAACGCAGAGAGUGACCACCGGUCGUCUACUUCUCUUCACUUUACCACCUUUUAGGCCCGCGCAACCUCCCUCAAUUUCCGCCGGGGAUAUUUCGACAACAAGGCGCGAGGUAUUCUCUCCUGAUGGAAAUGAAUUGUUUAGCCGGAUAAUUAUUUGAGGAACAUAUUGACUUUUUUCUUUCUUUCCUCUCUACAGUUGA